AUUGAACGCUGGCGGCAGGCCUAACACAUGCAAGUCGAACGAGUGGCGGACGGGUGAGUAAUGUCUGGGAAACUGCCUGAUGGAGGGGGAUAACUACUGGAAACGGUAGCUAAUACCGAAUAACAUCGGCUGUGCCCAGAUGGGAUUAGCUAGUAGGGUGGGUAACGGCUCACCUAGGCGACGAUCCCUAACUGGUCUGCGAGGAUGACCAGCCACACUGGAAUUGAGACACGGUCCAGCCUCCUACGGGAGGCAGCAGUGGGGAAUCUUCCGCAAUGGACGAAAGUCUGACGGAGCAACGCCGCGUGAGUGAUGACGGCCUUCGGAUUGUAAAGCACUUUAAGUUGGGAGGCGUUACCAACAGAAUAAGCACCGGCUAACUUCGUGCCAGCAGCCGCGGUAAUUC
rnacentral:rRNA from 1 species